rnacentral:rRNA from 1 species
AUUGAACGCUGGCGGCAGGCCUAACACAUGCAAGUCGAACGAGUGGCGGACGGGUGAGUAAUGUCUGGGAAACUGCCUGAUGGAGGGGGAUAACUACUGGAAACGGUAGCUAAUACGGCAAACCAUCGGAUGUGCCCAGAUGGGAUUAGUUAGUGGGGGGGGUAAAGGCACACCUAGGCGAAGAUCCCUAGCUGGUCUGAGAGGAUGACCAUCCAGACUGGAACUGCGACACGGUCCAGACUCCUACGGGAGGCAUCAGUGGGGAAUAUUGCACAAUGGGCGCAAGCCUGAUGCAGCCAUGCCGCGUGUAUGAAGAAGGCCUUCGGGUUGUAAAGUACUUUCAGCGGGGAGGCGUUACCCGCAGAAGAAGCACCGGCUAACUCCGUGCCAGCAGCCGCGGUAAUUC